CAGCUGGUCGGUAGUGGCAGAUUAGUCUCCAAACAGAUUUACAGCCAGUCAAGUACUGCAUGGCCUUUGAACAGAGGAAGAAAUGAUAAAGAAGCCAUUAGAGUGAGAGGAAACAAAGAGGAGAUUGUGGUACAACCCAGUGAGUCCGCUCACUGAGACCAGCACAAACCUUUUCCUGGUCGCUCUGCCAGCUCGGGGGAGCUGCUGAGUAAGAGGCUGUUAGCGCUGUGAUGUAUGAGGGCAGCUGACGCCCACCUGCUUCCCAGCAGUCGGUCUGGAGGGUGUUUCUAAGCUCCACCAUCGGCUAUUGGCUAUUCACGCAGCUCUACGGAGGAAUCAAUACCAACUGCAACACCUGUCGCAGCCCCUGCUGGAUUAAGUCGUAUUUUAUGGAGGAAGGACGGCAGUGUCAUUAGCAAUGAUUUAUAGCCACACUCUGCACAGGUGAAAGGAUGGCUGAUGACCUUCUCGUUUGGGAUAAAUGACUUGUCCUGACAGGCUGAUGACUGGUCCUAAUAAUGCCCCAUAAAAUAAAUGUAUUGCUCAAAGUGGGUAAUGAAGAGAAUUCUUUAAUUUCAGUUUAGUUGGACUAGACCAAAAGCUGUGUCAUAUCUGCAAAAGACCCUGCAGAAAAGAAUCAAUUGAGUUGUA